rnacentral:rRNA from 1 species
CUUCGGAUGCUGACGAGUGGCGGACGGGUGAGUAACGCGUAGGAAUCUGCCCAUCUGUGGGGGAUACCAGUUGGAAACGACUGUUAAUACCGCAUAAUAUCUGCGGAUUAAAGGUGGCCUUUGCGCUGCCGCAGAUGGAUGAGCCUGCGUUGGAUUAGCUAGUUGGUGGGGUAAGGGCCUACCAAGGCUACGAUCCAUA